GCACUGCUGAAGAGUCCCAUACUAGGAUGAAACCGACGUCCAGUGC
rnacentral:hammerhead_ribozyme from 1 species